UACGUAGGGGCGAGCGUUGUCCGGAAUCAUUGGGCGUAAAGCGCGUGUAGGCGGCUCGAUAAGUCCGGUGUGAAACCUUGGGGCUCAACCCCAAGCCUGCACUGGAUACUGCCGAGCUAGAGUCCGGGAGAGGAGAGUGGAAUUCCUGGUGUAGCGGUGAAAUGCGCAGAUAUCAGGAAGAACACCCGUGGCGAAAGCGGCUCUCUGGAACGGUACUGACGCUGAGACGCGAAGCGUGGGAGCGAACAGG
rnacentral:rRNA from 1 species